rnacentral:rRNA from 1 species
AUGACUGAACAAGCCAUCAACACACUAAGCUGGAACGUCCGCGGCCUCAACUGUCCAAACCGUAGGGCCACUGUGAGCGCAACGAUCGCGUCUUCGUCGUGCCACAUCGUUUGUCUCCAGGAGACGAAGCUGACCAUCGUCGACCAAUUCACGGCCGCAUUUCUUGGGGGCAACAGACUUCGUAGUUUCGCGCAGCGACCAGCAGAGGGGACCAGAGGUGGCAUCCUUAUUUUGUGGGAUGAUCACCUGGUUGAGCUGACGAAUAUCACCUACACCAGCUACUGUAUUUCGGCAAUGGUGCGGAUUAGAGAAACAGAGUUGAUUUUCAAGCUCACAUCGGUGUAUGGCCCCACUGAUUAUGCACGCAAAGACGCUUUCUUUGAUGAGCUUGCUAGUCAAAAGCCGCCGGCAGGAGUGGCAUGGCUCGCUUCUGGCGAUUUCAACCAAAUAUAUCGGGCAAGGGACAAAAACAACAAAAACAUUAAUAGAAGUCGUAUCACCUACUUCCGGAAUGCCCUACAAGCUGAACUCAGAGUAAUUCAUCUGCAGAAUCGAAGAUUCACUUGGAGCAAUGAGAGAGCGAGCCCUACUCUCUGCAAACUUGAUUCGUUCUUCUGCAACGCGGACUGGGACACAACCUUCAACAACCACGUCUUGCAUGCUCUCUCAUCAUCACUGUCCGACCACUGUCUGCUCUUGCUUGCCGAUGCGAGGGGGCCUCGGAGGCCUAGAACCUUCAGGUUUGAGAACUUCUAGGCCUCCAUGCCUGGAUUCAAUGAUGUUGUCCUCAAAGCUUGGAAUGAGCAUUGUGAGCACUCGGAACCGUAUCAGCUGUUGUUCCAUAAACUAAAGAAGACAGCCACCCGUCUCACCGAAUGGAGCAGGAGGCUUUUCUCCAAGGCAAAGAUCCACCUUCAUGCGGCCCUCCUGGUCAUUCUACAGCUUGACAUGGCUCAAGAAAAUCGGCCAUUAUCCCUUGAGGAGCUAGACUUGCGUGCUAGACUGAAGAAACGAGUUGUAAGCCUGGCAGUUCUUGAGAGGGCCCGAAAGAAGCAAUGUGCCAGAGUGGCCAACCUGAGGGAGGGAGACGCAAACACCAAGUUUUUUCACCGUCGCAUAAAAGCGCGAAGACGAAAGAACCACAUCCAUCGGAUAAAGCACGAGCAUGGUUGGGUGACCGAGCACGAGGCGAAGGAGAAAAUCCUUCAUGAGCACUUCUCUGAGGUCAUGGGAAGGGGAGACACAAGCACCAAGGACUUCAAUUGGGACGAGCUUAACAUUGUGUGA